GACGAACGCUGACGGUGUGCUUUAGACAUGCAAGUCGAACGCGAAAGCCCUUCGGGGUUAGUAGAGUGGCGAACGGGUGAGUAACACGUGGGCAAUCUGCCCCUCGCAGGGGGACAACCGGAGGAAACUCCGGCUAAUACCCCGUACGCUUGUAGGAUCGCAUGAUCCUACAAGGAAAGGUAGCUUCGGCCAUCCGGCGAGGGAUGAGCCCGCGGUGCAUUAGCUAGUUGGUGGGGUAACGCCCACCAAGGCGACGAUGCAUAGCUGGUCUGAGAGGAUGAUCAGCCACACUGGGACUGAGACACGGCCCAGACUCCUACGGGAGGCAGCAGUCGGGAAUCUUGCGCAAUGGGCGAAAGCCUGACGCAGCAACACCGUGUGAGCGACGAAGGCC
rnacentral:rRNA from 1 species